GACAGAGGAUGCAAACGUUGCUCGGAAUUACUGGGCGUAAAGCGCGUGUAGGCGGUCUGGUAAGUCGGACGUGAAAGCCCGGGGCUCAACCCCGGAAGCGCGCUCGAUACUGCCGGACUGGGGGCCUGAAGAGGAGAGCGGAAUUCCCGGUGUAGAGGUGAAAUUCGUAGAUAUUCGCAAGAACACCGGUGGCGAAGGCGGCCAACUGGACCAUUACUGACGCUGAGGCGCGAAAGCGUGGGGAGCAAACAGG
rnacentral:rRNA from 1 species